UACGUAGGGUGCAAGCGUUAAUCGGAAUUACUGGGCGUAAAGCGUGCGCAGGCGGCUUUGCAAGACAGAUGUGAAAUCCCCGGGCUUAACCUGGGAACUGCAUUUGUGACUGCAGGGCUGGAGUGCGGCAGAGGGGGAUGGAAUUCCGCGUGUAGCAGUGAAAUGCGUAGAUAUGCGGAGGAACACCGAUGGCGAAGGCAAUCCCCUGGGCCUGCACUGACGCUCAUGCACGAAAGCGUGGGAGCAAACAGG
rnacentral:rRNA from 1 species